AUAACAGAAAAAACCUGUGAUACAGAUUUUAUUUUAGCUACAUCAUGAAAAGAUGUUCAAGGCUACCAAUAGACAUGCAAACUGCCUAAAUUCAAACAUUUUUUGAAAGAAUGGUUUUUUUUUUCUGAGCAGGGUGUGGGUUUCAGACACUUUCGGCAGGUAGAGAUGAUGUCCUUCCAAUUAUCUAUUAUCUGCACCCAUAAAGUUACUUAGAGGCACAGGAGCCUCCUGGGAGAAUAGAACUGGGAACUUGAUUCUUUCUCUCCACCCUUGUCUGACAGAUUGGAAUAGUUCCUAGUGAGGUCAUAUUACAGGAAAAAGAAAUGAAGGAUUGAAAGGCAUUUGUCUUUAGGGUAGGGAAAGUCUGCACUGGUGAGCUGGAUGCAGGACAAAGGACCAAGUCUGUUGUUUUUUUUUUCCUAGUUGCACCAUGUUGUUGAUGUCAGAACUGAUCUUAAGCAAGCCACUCACAAGUUGGUUGUGCAAAUUUGUGAACUGGAGGAUCUAUAUCAAUAAAGCAGGGAUUGAUAGCUCAUAUUCUAAAGGAGACAGGAGCAAUAAGAGAAGAAUUGGGUCCUAAGCAAUAUGAUAGGUAGUGGGGAUGACUGCGGCUUACCAGAGGAUGCUUUUCCCAGUGGGAAACUGGGCUCUGUUUCCAGAUUUCCUAGUUUUUCAAGAGAAACUAAAAUACUAAUUUUUUAAAAGAUGAAAUGUCCUGAUUGCUAGCUUUCACAUUAAAAAUAUUCCGUGGGCAAACAAAACCAGAUUCAAACAAAACCAGAUUAGUCUGCAGGAUGCCUGGUUACAACUUUUUAACCAAGGAGCUCUCAUACAUGUGGGCUGGGGCCACUUUGUGUUCCAAGAGCUAGGCCUGCUAGCUAAUUCCUGUGUUUUAAGUCCACUCCCAGAGCUAUUUUUUUCAUUUAUUCCUUUCAGAGUUUAAAGAAAAAGAAAGAAAAAGAGGUUUAACUUGAAUGUCUAUUUUAUAGCAUAACUGUUUUCUUGCCUUUUAUUCAAGAGGAUGGGUAUUUUUAGGGGUACCUUUUAUUAUUAAAAACUGAAUAUCACUAUCUUUAAUGCAGCUGAUACAGCCAGUAGUGUUCCUUGACUUCUGGUCAAAAUCAGUAAUUGGCUGAUUUUAAUGAUCUUGGUUUGAGUUGUACAGCUUAUAUUACAUAUAGGCAGUAUCCCACAGUGGGGCUCAUAGGACUGUUACUCCAAGGGUACUGUCUCUAAGCAGUCACUUUAACUAGAUUCCUUUAGUUUCUUAACUAGCUUAAGUAAUGAGGGGAUUUUUUUUUCUUUUUUCCUGGUUACUUUAGGGAGUUUUGAGGACAUCCAUACACAUGCAUUAGAGCACACCUGAUCCUCACAGGGACUACAUGGGGAACUAAAAACAGGAACUAAUUGUUCCAUAGUCUGUCUCUCCUUUUCAGUAGGCUUCCUUUGCUUUUUCAUUUUGCAUAGGGCCCAACUGCUGGCCCUUACUAGUCUACAUGGUCUUCUAGUUCAAGUAUCCAGUAUCAUUUGUAAAUUUGUUCUUUGUCUCCUGUUGAAAUUCUUGUGAGGAUCUGACUGGGUUAUUUUUGGGAGAUAGGCAACAAAAAAAGUUGAUGGUAUUCCUGUUGAUUGGCUGCUUUAAGGUAAAGAGUCCUGCCCUAGUCCAAUUAGCUGAAUUUGGGAGAAUGGAGUAAUGUGCUGAAUGCUUUGGACAGAUGGAUGUAGGGAUUUGGAUGAAGAGAGGAAGGAGCUUUGUUCCGAACAGGGUGUGAGCCAGCCACCACUCUGAAAUCUAUCUACUAGAUACCAUGGCUCAGUAACUUUUUAUCCAGAGAUGCCUAGAGCUCUGUAUAGAACAAAAAUGGCCUAAGCUGUCAAUUGAUCUUUUAAAUAGUUGAAUAGUGUUCAGGCAGUCUGUUUGGCUUCCCUUACUCCUGGAGUACUCAUCAGACUUCCAGGUUAUCCUAGUUGAAUAACCAUGAGACUGUCAUGAAGAGAUAUAUUCUUCAUGGUCAAUUACCACAAUGUUCUAAUUGCAGAAUUUGAUAUUUAAUCCUUUGGAAAAAUCUCUUAAGCCUUUUAAGUGCCAAAAAGGUGAAAUGAAGUGAAUAUUUUCAUACAGCAAACAUUAAUUGGAGUGUUGCUUUGCUCUAGGGCAAGAAAGUUUCACUUGAUAUGCCAACUCUAAACAGUUUUGGAGGCUAAGUAGUACUGUGUUGGGAAGGAUUUUGGAAUUUGAGAUUGUUCUCUUGUUCUGCUGGGAAGAGUGCCACGUUUGAUUUGUGAUGUCUGCUGUGGUUGGAAAGAAUUGUUGACCUGAAUGACCUGUAUUUUCUAUCUGUAGUCUGUAAUUAUUGUUUAAAUAAUAUAUUAGUGUUUGCUUUCUACCUUCAUUUUGUUGUACCUAUAUACUUUUCAAUGGGUAGUAUUCAUAUCAAUUCCUUAUAUUGUGAGUAACAGCAGAUAACUCAAGUUUUAUAAGUAAGUUUUUCCAUAUUAAGAAUUUUUUAAAGCCAAAGUGAUGUUAAGUAUAUUUCUAAAUAUUAAAAUUUAUCAGCUCCUGACUGCAUUCUCUAAGAACGUGAACUACUUCACUUAUAUUGAAUAUUAAGGGGGAACUCAUAUGCGUUUGCCCCACAAGGAAAAUAUAACAAAAUUUCCCUUCACUUGAAGGAUACAGGGUUUUUUCCCCCAUGGUAUUCAGUUUAUAUACAGGAAUAUUCUCUCUAAAAUCUAGCCUUUAAGCAAGAAGCAUCUAGUAGAAAUUCAUUACUUUUUUUUCUUAGAGUAUUACAUGAACAUGGCAACAAAAAAAUGUAGUACAAAAGUACUUUUGAUGAAAAGCAACAGUUUUUCAUUCCUUGCCUCCCAUUGUUAGGCCUGCCCCCAGAAACAAACAUUUGAACUAUUUUGUUGUUUGUUCUUUAGGUAACUUUAAAUUAUAUGCUUUUACCUACACUCCUUGAUUGAUUAAACACUAUUUCCUUCCUUUUAUAAAAGAUGAAGAUUUAAUUCAGUUACUUCCCCUUCCUUCCCCCAAAUUCCUACCAAUAUUUGAUAGUUAAUUGUAAUUUUACGUUUUUCUCUUGGUGUGUGUGUGUGUGUGUAUUUAUUGAUGUAACAUUGGUUUAUAACAUUACAUAAAUCUCAUGUGUGCAGCAUUAUAAUUUGUCGACUUUAUGCACAACAAAGUGCUUACCACCGAAAGUCUGGUUUCUAUCCAUCACCAUACACUUGAUCCUCUUUAUCCAUUUUGUCUCCCCACCACCGCUUACCUCUGGUAACCACCAGUCUAUUCUCUGUAUCUAUGUGUGUGUGCUUUUUGUUUUGUUUGUUAUUUUUAAAAUAUUCCACAUGUGAGUGGAAUCAUACAGUAUUUGUCUUUCUCUGACUGACCUGUUCACUUGGCACAAUACCCUCAGGUUCCAUCCAUGUUGUACCAGAUGGCAAAAUUUAAUCUUUUUUUAUGUCUUGGUUCUUAUAUUAAUCAGCUUUUACUGCAUAGCAGUCACAAUCUUCUGUGUACAAGAGAGUGGAUUAUGACAGAUUAGGUAACUUUCAGCAGAUGUUUACUCCUUGGUCUUGCGACUUGCUUUGGCCAGAAGAACUUGGGCAGAAGUGACAGUAUACCAGUUUUGAGCCUAGGGCUUAAGAGGUAUUAAAUGUUUCUACUUGGCACUCUGGGAGUUUCCAAUCUUUGCAUAAUAAAACAGGUCCCAGGCAUCUGCUGGCCACUGUAGAGCCCCAGAUGGAGAAACAUAGAAAAGAUGUCAACUUGACCUACAGCCUGAAACAGAGAUGCCCCAAUUGACCUAAAGAACUUAUUUCUAAGUGAGAAAUAUAUGCUUAUUUUUCAUAUGUUACUGAGAUUUUUGUGUUUGCUUGUUUUGCAGGAAAAGGUUGAUCAAUUUAAAAAUGGGUACCUAGGAGUGGGGUGCUGCUAUAAUGAAAACUAAAAAUGCAUGCCCAUUGGCUUUGGAACUGGGUGGUGGUUAGCAAGGAAACUAUUAUAGGAGGCUGGAGAAAUGGCUGUGUUAUGUAGUAGCAAAAUGUUUGAUAAAACUUGUCUGUGGUAACAUGGAAGACAGUUUAAUUAAGUUGCAGUAUUUGGCAAGGAACUUUCAAGAUGAAAGCAUGAGCUAGUUGCUGUUAGCUGCAUAGGAUAAGGUACUACAAGCAUAAUUCAAUCUACCACAUCUGAUCUCUUGGUGAUAAUCAUUCAUGUCCCUUUUGUUCCAAUGACGUAGUUCUUCAUCUUCAUAUGUAUGUGUGAUGGAACAUGCCAGCUGUCAGGCUUUCCUUUAGCGUGGGUGGAUAGCCGACUAUCAGGCUGCUGGUCUUCCAAAUGCCACAAAGAGGAAGGCCUGGCUCUGAGUCACUAAAACCAUAGCUUAAAGUUAAUUUUUCUGGUGAUGUUUUCCCCUCCCUCUCUUUCUUAUUUCCUUUUUAAAAAGGGGCUAUAAUUAAUAAGGAUGCUAUUUGCUGAAACCAGUAAACCUGAAAAUUUCAAUGGCUAAACAAAAUAGCAUUUUUUUUUUUACUUCUUUAUUAGUCCAAUGAAGGUCUUCCUCUCAGCAGGCAACUUUCCUUCGUGGGAUUUAGUGCACUGAAUUUCUUCUGUCUUGUGAUUCUGCCAUCCUUAAAAUUCCUUGUGAUUCUCUGUCUCCUCCUAGCGGAAGGGGAAGAGAGCAGAGAAGGCACUUCUUAAUUGCCUUGGCAGGGAAAUGACACAUUGCUUUUAUUUACAUUCCAUUGGCUAAAACUAGUCUUAUGGUCGUGCCUAGAUACAAGAGGGGUCUAAGAAAUGAUGUUUUUGGCUAAGUAGUUAUUUCUUAGGGACAACUCUAUGUUAUAGGAGGAAGUGUAUGAAUUUUGGUCGACAUUUGGCCAUUUUUGCCACAAAGGAGAGUUACCCUCUUGUUGUUUUUGGCUGGGGGUAAAUAUUAGGCUCCUUGUGUGCUUUGUGAGCAGAGGUGGAAGAGGAAGGUAGACAUGGAAUAUUUGACUUGGUACAGUUUUUCUAUAUUCAGAUCUUCAGUUCAUCUCUGUCCUUAGCUACUUCCUUUCUUAAUGCCCCUUUAAGACAGUUCCUCAGGUAUCCCUGAGCCUAGAAUCCCUCUAGGGUUCCAGUGGGCAGAUCAGCUUUCAUCUCAAUUGCACCUUCCUCCUAGUGUAGUCUGUUCUGUUUAAGUUGUCAAUACACUUCUAUUUUUGUCUUUCAGAAAUUUGUUGAAAUCUCUUGCUGGCCAAUGAUCAGCUCUUUCCAAGCUGAGUUUUCUUCACUGUUAUACAGGCCUAAGUAUCUGUACAUUGUUUUUUGUUUAAGUUUUAGGAGUCAGUUGAAAUAAAUAUAGAAUAUCUUCAGUUAGUACCUCUAACAGAAUUUCAAUUAUUUUUUAAUACCUGCUGCUUAAUGAAGAUGCUUUACUGUCUACCAUGUGCCGAGUACUUUCUCCAGGCUCUGGAGGACAUGUAAAAAGGACUACCAUGAAGAUGCAUUGAAAAUUCUGCUACACUGGAGGAGUGAAGUAUCCCAUUCAGUUGGUGAUCUUCCUGUCAUGGAAGUUGCUUGCCAG